AUGAACGCUGGCGGCGUGCCUAAUACAUGCAAGUCGAGCGAACGGACGAGAAGCUUGCUUCUCUGAUGUUAGCGGCGGACGGGUGAGUAACACGUGGAUAACCUACCUAUAAGACUGGGAUAACUUCGGGAAACCGUAGCUAAUACCGGAUAAUAUUUUGAACCGCAUGGUUCAAAAGUGAAAGACGGUCUUGCUGUCACUUAUAGAUGGAUCCGCGCUGCAUUAGCUAGUUGGUAAGGUAACGGCUUACCAAGGCAACGAUGCAUAGCCGACCUGAGAGGGUGAUCGGCCACACUGGAACUGAGACACGGUCCAGACACCUACGGGAGGCAGCAGUAGGGAAUCUUCCGCAAUGGGCGAAAGCCUGACGGAGCAACGCCGCGUGAGUGAUGAAGGUCUUCGGAUCGUAAAACUCUGUUAUUAGGGAAGAACAUAUGUGUAAGUAACUGUGCACAUCUUGACGGUACCUAAUCAGAAAGCCACGGCUAACUACGUG
rnacentral:rRNA from 1 species